CGUUGUUGGAGAGCUGUGGACUGCGAUUUGUGUUAGUGAAUGUGUGAACUCAUUGCAUAUUCGUCAUAAUUGAAGGAAAAAGACAAAGGCAACUUGCACGUCUGUGUGUGUGAGCGGCCGAGAUGGACGGCGACGGCGGAGCAUCGCGCCCGGCGCUGGGCCGUGGCGGACGGGGCGAGGCCAUGCGGCGCGCGCUCGAGAUGUACAAACGGCGCCCGGGCGCCCAGCUGCAGGACGCACAGCAGAGCCAGGGCGGCGUGCCCGACCAUCCGCUGGCGGCGGUGCCGGGACCGGCCGGAGACGCGCCGCCGCCGUCCGCAGCGCCCGCCGCCGCCGCCACCGCCGCGCCCAGCAGGACCGCACGCCUCCAGAUGCUGCUGGAGAAGCACAACAGAGAGAGUACGUGGCACGGAUUGCCGCGCGGCCGGCCGCCAGUGAGGCCAUGCUGAGAAGCGGCGCGGCUCUGACGGCUGGAUG